AACCUAAAAGCUAGCCCGCCCAUAACAUAAUAAUCAAAUAUUACUAACCCAAAAGAAAACUAAACCUAUAAAAUAAACCAUUCUACCACCACAGUAUGGGAGACAAAAAAGGACCUCGGAGCAAUAGACAAAGUACCGCAAGGGAAAGCUGAAAAAGAAGUGAAACAACUCAUACAAGCAUAAAAAAGCAGAGACUACACCUCGUACCUUUUGCAUCAUGAAUUAACAAGAAAACCUCAAGCAAAGCGACCUAAAGUUUGAGACCCCGAAACUGAAGCGAGCUACUCCAAGACAGCCUUAUAUAGGGCACACCCGUCUCUGUGGCAAAAGAGUGGGAAGAUCUUUAAGUAGAGGUGACAAACCUACCGAGCUCAGUUAUAGCUGGUUGCCUGAGAAAUGAAUAAAAGUUCAGCCCUUUAAUCUCUUAACCCCUAGACGAUAAUCCCCAACAGGCAAUGAAAGACUUAAAAGAGUUAGUCAGAAGAGGUACAGCUCUUCUGAAAAAGAUACAACUUAUUCAAGAGGUUAAAGAUCAUAUAUUAGACAGGGACUUAACCAGGUGGGCCUAAAAGCAGCCACCCCAACAGAAAGCGUUAUAGCUCAACUAAAAUCGCCCCAUUUAUAACGACAACCAAUCUUCAACCCUUAACAAUAUCAGGCCGCCCUAUGCCUCAGCCAUAGGAGAGACUAUGUUAAUAUGAGUAACAAGAGGGCCUGCCCCUCUCCAAACACCAGUGUAUAUCGGAACGGACACCCCACCGACCAUUAACGACCUCACAACCAGAGAGUACUACAAAAUACUAAACAAGAAAAAUUUGUACCUAAACACCGUUAACCCUACACCGGAGUGUAAUAAGGAAAGACUAAAAGAAAAAGAAGGAACUCGGCAAACACCCCCAGCCUCGCCUGUUUACCAAAAACACCGCCUCUUGCAAAACAAGAAUAAGAGGUCCCGCCUGCCCUGUGACAUCUAGUUUAACGGCCGCGGUAUUUUGACCGUGCGAAGGUAGCGUAAUCACUUGUCUCUUAAAUAGGGACCUGUAUGAAUGGCAACACGAGGGCUUAACUGUCUCCUUUUUCCAGUCAGUGAAAUUGAUCUCCCCGUGCAGAAGCGGGGAUAAAAACAUAAGACGAGAAGACCCUAUGGAGCUUAAGACACCCCCUAACCUAUGCGAAGAUUCUUAAAUCAAAAAGAAAGAGCUAAAUAGGCCUUAGUAAGUGUCUUUGGUUGGGGCGACCACGGGGGACAAUAAAGCCCCCAUGCGGAAUAGGACAUCUCCUUAACCUCAGAGCCACCGCUCCAAGUAACAAAACAUUUGACCACCAGAUCCGGCAGUUCCAAGCCGAUCAACGAACCGAGUUACCCUAGGGAUAACAGCGCAAUCCCCUCACAGAGCCCAUAUCGACGAGGGGGUUUACGACCUCGAUGUUGGAUCAGGACAUCCUAAUGGUGCAGCCGCUAUUAAGGGUUCGUUUGUUCAACGAUUAAAGUCCUACGUGAUCUGAGUUCAGACCGGAGUAAUCCAGGUCAGUUUCUAUCUAUGAUUGUUCUUUUCCAGUACGAAAGGACCGAAAAGAAGAGGCCUAUGCUUAAUGCACGCCUCACCCUUACCCUAUGAAAUUAACUAAAUAGGGCAAAAGGGCAUGCCCUCCGGGCCAAAAUUAAUGGCAU
rnacentral:rRNA from 1 species